AUGACUCUCAACAAUGGAUAUCUUAGCUAUUGCAACGAUGAAGAACUCAGCGAAAUGCGAUACGUAGUGUGAAUUGCAGAAUUCCAUGAAUCAUCAAGUCUUUGAACACAAGUUGUGCCUGCGGCUCAUCCAAGGGCAUGCCUUCUUGAGCAUCCCU
rnacentral:rRNA from 1 species